rnacentral:rRNA from 1 species
AGUGAACGCUGGCGGUAGGCCUAACACAUGCAAGUCGAACGGCAGCACAGUAAGAGCUUGCUCUUACGGGUGGCGAGUGGCGGACGGGUGAGGAAUACAUCGGAAUCUACUUUUUCGUGGGGGAUAACGUAGGGAAACUUACGCUAAUACCGCAUACGACCUACGGGUGAAAGCAGGGGAUCUUCUGACCUUGCGCGAUUGAAUGAGCCGAUGUCGGAUUAGCUAGUUGGCGGGGUAAAGGCCCACCAAGGCGACGAUCCGUAGCUGGUCUGAGAGGAUGAUCAGCCACACUGGAACUGGGACACGGUCAAGACGCCUACGGGAGGCAGCAGUGGGGAAUAUUGGACAAUGGGCGCAAGCAUGAUCCAGCGAUACCGCGUGGGUGAAGAAGGCCUUCGGGUUGUAAAGCCCUUUUGUUGGGAAAGAAAAGCAGCAGGUUAAUACCCCGCUGUUCUGACGGUACCCAAAGAAUAAGCACCGGCUAACUUCGUG